UACGGGGGGAGCAAGCGUUGUUCGGAUUUACUGGGCGUAAAGGGCGCGUAGGCGGCGUGACAAGUCACUUGUGAAAUCUCCGGGCUUAACUCGGAACGGUCAAGUGAUACUGUCGGACUAGAGUACAGAAGGGGCAACUGGAAUUCUCGGUGUAGCGGUGAAAUGCGUAGAUAUCGAGAGGAACACCUGCGGCGAAGGCGGGUUGCUGGGCUGAUACUGACGCUGAGGCGCGAAAGCUGGGGGAGCAAACGGG
rnacentral:rRNA from 1 species